CCCAGGUCAGGCGAGGCC
rnacentral:rRNA from 3 species